GUGGAUUAGAUACCCUAGUAGUCCACACUGUAAACGAUGAUUGCUAGGUGUGGGGGGUCUGACCCCUUCCGUGCCGGAGUUAACGCAAUAAGCAAUCCACCUGGGGAGUACGGCCGCAAGGUUGAAACUCAAAGGAAUUGACGGGGGCCCGCACAAGCAGUGGAUUAUGUGGUUUAAUUCGAAGCAACGCGAAGAACCUUACCAGGUCUUGACAUCCGACUAACGAGAUAGAGAUAUGUCAGGUGCCCUUCGGGGAAAGUCGAGACAGGUGGUGCAUGGUCGUCGACAACU
rnacentral:rRNA from 1 species